AUUUAGAUUUAUGUAAGAGAGAACAAUAUGUAUGAUUCAGAUAUACGUAGAUGCACAUAAUUGUGUAUACAGGACAGAAACACAUACAAAACACCAACACUACCGUACCUAGUACUUAUACAUUCAAUAGAUUUUCAUCAUCGCCAUUUCACGAUGGUACACAUCAAAUCAAUCCACUUUUCUAAUCUUUUUUUUUUUUUUGUUACGUGUUUAUUCUAACAUUUUUUUUUAUGUGUUUUAGAAAACCAUAUUGGAUAUUUCGAUCUUGAUAAAUUUUCUCUGUUUUGGUAUUGUAUACGGCAAAAAUUACAAC
rnacentral:sRNA from 1 species